AUUUAGUGUCCGGUGAGGCCCGCAGCGUUCUCUCUGUACGCUGGCCGUGGGCGGGUGUGUCCCGAGGUAGCGGCGAAUGCUUCACAUGCCCCCGAUGGACAGGAGGCCGAGCGCAGCAGGCCUGGGCAGGGGGAAGCGCUGGCGAUCUGUGCUCAGGCCUUUGGGCCCCURUGGGUGAGGGGCGCACCGAGCUCAUGACUCCUCUUACAGCCUGGGGCUGAGGCCUCACUUAACAACUUCAUGCAUGACAUGUUCAAGUCAUGGAUAAUCACACCUAAAUGUGAAGCAGUGCUCAGGACUUCUUAGGAAUAAAUAAUGUGUUCUACUGGAAGGGAUGAAAGCAGAUGUUCUAAGGACUUAAACUGACAAUAAAUAUCAGUUUGUGAUUUCCUGAGUGGCUGAUUUCUGACUUCAUAUGAGAUGAUUCCAGUUGUCAUCUCUAAUGUAUUGUCUUGGAAGUGGAAUUAAAGCAAGUGAUGGCUAAAAUUAAAUGUCUUCAAUGAUCAUAUUUAAAGAGGACCCUCACCAUUUUUUGAAACAGGAUUCCUGACAAAAAGUGCUGCAAUUUAUUUGYGGAUUUCUUGAAAUAAAAUAUGAGUAUGCUACCAAAAGUUGUAUCCUGAGGGUUUUUUGUUAACAUACUCCCUGUACCUUUAAAGCCUUUGUUUCAUGGAUGUAAUCACUUUUGCUAUCACACAGAAACAUUUUCUUGCCAUGUGCAAACUUCAUUAAACUAA